UACGAAGGGGCUAGCGUUGCUCGGAAUCACUGGGCGUAAAGCGCACGUAGGCGGAUUGCUAAGUCAGGGGUGAAAUCCUGGAGCUCAACUCCAGAACUGCCUUUGAUACUGGCGAUCUCGAGUCCGGGAGAGGUGAGUGGAACUGCGAAGUGUAGAGGUGAAAUUCGUAGAUAUUCGCAAAGAACACCAGUGGCGAAGGCGGCUCACUGGCCCGGUACUGACGCUGAGGUGCGAAAGCGUGGGGAGCAAACAGG
rnacentral:rRNA from 1 species